rnacentral:tRNA from 1 species
GCGCCGGUGGCGUAAUGGCAUAGAGCGUUCCUGCCCGGCCAGCAGGAGAUGCGGGUUCGAGUCCCACCUAGCGCU